rnacentral:rRNA from 1 species
GAUGAACGCUGGCGGCGUGCCUAAUACAUGCAAGUCGAGCGAACAGACGAGGAGCUUGCUCCUCUGCCGUUAGCGGCGGACGGGUGAGUAACACGUGGAUAACCUACCUAUAAGACUGGGAUAACUUCGGGAAACCGGAGCUAAUACCGGAUAAUAUAUUGAACCGCAUGGUUCAAUAGUGAAAGACGGUUUUGCUGUCACUUAUAGAUGGAUCCGCGCCGCAUUAGCUAGUUGGUAAGGUAACGGCUUACCAAGGCGACGAUGCGUAGCCGACCUGAGAGGGUGAUCGGCCACACUGGAACUGAGACACGGUCCAGACUCCUACGGGAGGCAGCAGUAGGGAAUCUUCCGCAAUGGGCGAAAGCCUGACGGAGCAACGCCGCGUGAGUGAUGAAGGUCUUCGGAUCGUAAAACUCUGUUAUUAGUGAAGAACAAAUGUGUAAGUAACUAUGCACGUCUUGACGGUACCUAAUCAGAAAGCAACGGCUAACUACGUG